GACGAACGCUGGCGGCGUGCUUAACACAUGCAAGUCGAGCGGUAAGGCCCUUUCGGGGGUACACGAGCGGCGAACGGGUGAGUAACACGUGGGUGACCUGCCCUCAGCUCUGGGAUAAGCCUGGGAAACUGGGUCUAAUACUGGAUAUGACUCCACGGUGCAUGUCGUGGGGUGAAAGCCUUGUGCGGCUGAGGAUGGGCCCGCGGCCUAUCAGCUUGUUGGUGGGGUGANGGCCCUACCAAGGCGACGACGGGUAGCCGGCCUGAGAGGGCGACCGGCCACACUGGGACUGAGACACGGCCCAGACUCCUACGGGAGGCAGCAGUGGGGAAUCUUGCGCAAUGGGCGAAAGCCUGACGCAGCGACGCCGCGUGUGGGAUGACGGCC
rnacentral:rRNA from 1 species